rnacentral:rRNA from 1 species
AUGCCGUGGCUCUCCUUUAGCUGCAACUGCACUGGAUCUGUACUUCGUACCAAGAUCAGCGUGGAAGAAUGGAAGGCUAUAUCAUCUAGAAGCAGUAUUUGCACUGAGGAAACUGGAAUUUUGCCAAUACUCAAGCUUAGCUACAACGAUUUGCCAGCACACAUGAAGCAGUGCUUUGCUUUCUGUGCCAUAUUCCCCAAGGAUUACAAGAUUAAUGUGCAGAGGCUUAUCCAACUAUGGAUCGCAAAUGGCUUUAUCCCUGAACACAAGGAAGAUAGUCUUGAAACCAUUGGACAACUUAUUUUUGAUGAGCUUGCUUCAAGGUCAUUCUUUCUGGAUAUAGAGAAGAGUAAAGAAGACUGGGAGUAUUAUUCCAGAAAUACAUGUAAAAUCCACGAUCUUAUGCAUGAUAUUGCAAUGUCUGUUAUGGAAAAGGAAUGUGUUGCUGUGACUAUGGAUACAAGUGAAAUUGAGUGGCUUGGAGAUACUGCUCGGCAUUUGUUUUUAUCAUGUAAAGGAACAGAAGGUAGUUUGAAUGAUUCUUUGGAGAAAAGAUCUCCUGCCAUUCAAACACUGAUAUGCCAAAGUCAUAUGCGAAGCUCAUUGAAGCAUCUGUCAAAAUAUAGCUCUUUGCACGCCUUGAAGCUCUGUAUUAGAGGCAAAGAAUCAUUUCUUCUGAAAUCAAUGUAUCUGCAUCACCUGAGGUACCUUGAUCUCUCAAACAGUUCUAUCAAAUCACUUCCUGAAGAUAUAAGUAUUCUAUAUAACCUUCAAAUGUUGGACCUUUCCUACUGUUGUUAUCUUUAUCGACUUCCAAUGCAAAUGAAGCAUAUGACUUUCCUCCGUCACCUCUACACUCAUGGAUGUCAGAAGUUGAAGAGCAUGCCUCCAGAACUAGGAAAACUCACUAACCUGCAGACGUUGACAUGGUUUGUGGCAGGAGUUCCUGGCCCUGAUUGCAGUGAUGUUGCAGAGCUGCAGCAUUUAAACCUUGGUGGUUAUCUAGAGCUACGUCAGAUAGAGAAUGUUAAAGAAGCAGAGGCAAAAGUGGCAAACCUUGGAAACAAGAAGGAUCUCAGAGAACUGUCAUUAAGAUGGACUGAGGUUGGCGACAGCAAGGUGCUCGACAAGUUCAAACCUCAUGGUGGGCUGCAGGUUCUGAAGAUAUAUUCCUAUGGAGGAGAGUGCAUGGGUAUGCUGCAAAACAUGGUUGAGAUCCAUCUUUUUCAUUGUGAAAGAUUGCAAAUUUUGUUCAGAUGCAGUGCAAUCUUCACUUUUCCAAAACUGAAGGUGCUUAUGCUAAUACAUCUGUUGGAUUUUGAGAGAUGGUGGGAAAUAGAUGAGAGGCAAGAAGAACAGACAAUAUUUCCUGUGCUUGAGAAGUUGUUUAUUAGUAAUUGUGGAAAGUUGGUAGCAUUACCUGAAGCACCAUUGCUGCAAGGACCUUGUGGUCAAGGUGGUUAUACAUUGGUUUGCUCAGCAUUUCCUGCCCUAAAGGUGCUCAAAAUGAAAAACUUGGAGAGCUUUCAGAGAUGGGCUGCAGUGGAAGAGACUCAAGGAGAACACAUACUGUUUCCUUGUCUGGAGGAACUAUCAAUUGAGAAAUGCCCAAAGUUGACGGCGUUACCUGAAGCACCAUUGCUUCAAGAACCAUGUAUUGAAGGUGGUUACAGAUUGGUACGCUCAGCGUUUCCUGCCUUAAAGGUGCUCAAAAUGGAAAACUUGGAGCGGUUUCAAAGAUGGGGUGUGGUCGAAGGGACAUUGUUUCCUCAGCUUGAGAAACUAUCAGUUCAGAAGUGCCCCAAGAUGAUAGAUUUACCAGAGGCACCAAAACUCAGUGUCUUAAAAAUUAAAGAUGGUAGGCAAGAGAUCUCCGAUUUUGCAGAUAGAUAUUUUUCUUCAUUGACCAAACUGAUAUUGAAUCUAGAAAACACAGAAACAACAUCAGAGGUUGAGUGCACUUCAAUUGUAUCUGUGGACAGCAAGGAGAAAUGGAACGAGAAAUCCCCUCUUACAGUGAUGGAGCUAAGAUGCUGCAACUCAUUCUUUGGACCAGGUGCACUAGAGCCGUGGGACUAUUUUGUACACCUUGAAAAGUUGGAAAUUGAUAGAUGUGAUGUGCUUGUCCACUGGCCAGAGAAAGUGUUCCAAAGCUUGGUAUCCUUGAGGACAUUAGUGAUUACAAGCUGCGAAAAUCUGACUGGAUAUGCACAAGCUCCUCUUGAGCCAUUGGCAUCCGAAAGGAGUCAGCACCUGAGAGUUCUGGAGUCUCUUUGCUUAGAAAACUGCCCAAGUUUAGUAGAGAUGUUCAACGUCCCGACAUCUCUCAAGAAAAUGUAUAUUAAUGGGUGCAUUAAGCUUGAGUCCAUAUUCGGCAAGCAGCAGGGCAUGGCUGAGUUAGUCCAAGGAUCUUCUAGCAGUGAGGCAAUCAUGCCUGCAGCUGUAUCAGAGUUGUCAUCCUCACCCAUGAAUCACUUUUGUCCAUGCCUAGAAUAUCUACAGUUAUCUGAUUGUGGAAGCUUACCAGCGGUUCUACAUCUGCCUCUGUCCUUAAAGACCUUAGAAAUUUAUAACUGCAGUAGUAUUCAAGUCCUAUCAUGCCAGCUGGGUGGGCUCCAGAAACCAAAAGUCACUACCUCCAUAAGCAGAAGUCCUGUCAUGCCAGAGCCACCACCACCAGCAGCAGCUGCUGCAAGAGAGCAUUUACUUCCUCCCCAUCUCGAAUCUCUAGUAAUACUGAACUGUGCUGGCAUGUUGGGUGGGACUCUCCGUCUGCGUGCACCCCUCAAGAGACUGCGCAUUAUUGGCAACAGUGGGUUGACAUCGCUGGAGUGUCUGUCAGGAGAGCACCCCCCAUUGCUGGAAGUCCUUGAUCUUCAAAAGUGCAGUACCCUAGCUUCCCUGCCGAAUGAGCCGCAAGUAUACAUGUCUCUCUGGAAUCUUGAAAUUAGAGGCUGCCCUGCUAUAAAGAAGCUCCCUAGAUGCCUGCAGCAGCAACUGGGCAGCAUUGAUGACGAGUACAAAGAACUAGAUGCCCAUUAUGAAGUGAUGGCACUUAAACCGAAGACAUGGAAGGAGAUGCCAAGGCUAGUCCGUGAGCGGAGGAAGGCCGCUCGAGAAGCCAAGGAGCGCCAGCAAUCCGCCAUGCAGGAGUAA